GCCAGGAUCCUGUUUUGAAUAAUUGACCCUUCGCUAAGCCACGCCCGAAAACCGCCACAGGCCAAUCGUGGCUUAUCAACCGUAACUAGGUGCGGGAGGUCUGUCAAGCUUUCAAGCGAGGGAAACAUGCCAAAGCGUUGU